rnacentral:rRNA from 1 species
GGUGAACGCUGGCGGCGUGCCUAAUACAUGCAAGUCGAGCGAACGGACGAGAAGCUUGCUUCUCUGAUGUUAGCGGCGGACGGGUGAGUAACACGUGGAUAACCUACCUAUAAGACUGGGAUAACUUCGGGAAACCGGAGCUAAUACCGGAUAAUAUUUUGAACCGCAUGGUUCAAAAGUGAAAGACGGUCUUGCUGUCACUUAUAGAUGGAUCCGCGCUGCAUUAGCUAGUUGGUAAGGUAACGGCUUACCAAGGCAACGAUGCAUAGCCGACCUGAGAGGGUGAUCGGCCACACUGGAACUGAGACACGGUCCAGACUCCUACGGGAGGCAGCAGUAGGGAAUCUUCCGCAAUGGGCGAAAGCCUGACGGAGCAACGCCGCGUGAGUGAUGAAGGUCUUCGGAUCGUAAAACUCUGUUAUUAGGGAAGAACAUAUGUGUAAGUAACUGUGCACAGCUUGACGGUACCUAAUCAGAAAGCCACGGCUAACUACGUG